UACGUAGGGGGGCUAGCGUUGUCCGGAAUCAUUGGGCGUAAAGCGCGCGUAGGCGGCCCGGUAAGUCCGCUGUAAAAGUCCAAGGCUCAACCUUGGAAUGCCGGUGGAUACUGUCGGGCUAGAGUCCGGAAGAGGCGAGUGGAAUUCCUGGUGUAGCGGUGAAAUGCGCAGAUAUCAAGGAGGAACACCGGUGGCGAAGGGCGGGUUCUCCUGGCAAUGUUCUGACGCUGGAGGAGCGAAAGUGUGGGGAGCGAACAGG
rnacentral:rRNA from 1 species